UUUAUGACAUGUGUUUCAUGCCCAGGCAAAUAGUUAUGAUUCAUAAUGGCUGACAAGAGGUAAACAAGUGAUAGUUCUGGACCAACCACAAGGAGACAAAGGAAACAUAGAAAUGAAAAUCUGCUUUCUGUGGUAGCAGCUAACAUUGCCUUUAAGGGCAUAGUAGUAGGAGUACAGAGUUCAGAUCAGCAGGAAGUAGGGAUUAAGGGAAAUCCUUGGACAUUCUCAAAGACCUCAUAAACAUCACUCUAGCUUGGGAGGGUUGGCCAACAGUGUAUGAAGAGUGGCUGUAAAAAUACUCAUAGAAGCCGAUAAAGCUUUCAGACUUUGUCCUACGCAGUGAGCCACUGUCCCAGAUGAAUCCGUAAUGGCCACUCUCAGCAGAGCUCUGAGAAUCUACCAGAUGACACUUCACCAAUUGUAGGGAGAAGACAGAGGAGCCUGAGGGUAUCAGGGAGGUUCAGAGUGAGAAGAGUAUGGUAUUUUCCUUUGAGAACAGGGCUUCAGAUGCCAGCUUUGCACCUGGAUAAGCUGUGGCAUCUCAGGAAAGUGACUUCACCUCUCCAAAUAUUAUUCUCCUCAUUUGUAUUGUUAAAGAGGGGUGAGAAGGUUACAUGUCAAGCUGAGAGAUAAAAGGAGGCCAAUAAACGUUAGUCUUCCUUACAAGACCCAACAUCAACCCUCUAAGAUGUUAACAAGAGUCUUUUAAGGUCACAAUCCUUUCCUACAGUGAAGCCUAAAAAGUUUUCCAGAAGAAAUUCACCUCUGCCCUUAAAGACGUGGGAACAAUUCAGGUCUCUGGUUGUCAAAAGAAAACAUGCAAAUACUGGA